rnacentral:lncRNA from 10 species
UUGCCUUUUCUUAGUUGUUUCUGUCUGUCUUGUAGCUCUUUAGUCCUUUUCUUUUCUUGCUCUCUUCCUUUGUAAUUUUGUUGACUGUUUGCAGCUGUUGGAGGCCGCACAAAUGUUUCUUAUAAUGAGGCAUAAUUGAAGCCUGUCAGUAACAAUAUGAACCUGUGGUCAAUUAAGCAGCUGACCAAUCGUUACCUCCUCCUUCUUGCUCUUGUUACCCAAUAAAUAAGAAGGGUUGUGGAAGCUCAGGGGCUGCCUUUCCUCACUAGAAGCAGGGAGCUCUCUUCUUCCCCAUGCUAGCCUUUCCUUAAAAUAGUUACUUUUGUUUUCUGUUAUGAUUUCUAUGUUCGUCCGUUCAUUCAGUCUUGUAAUGACAGUCUCAAGCAGUAACAGCAGUAACUGCUGUAAUGACGGUCUCAAGUAGUAGUAGUGGCAGUCGGCCACAUUUUAUAAUUUCUAUCUCUUUGCUGAUAUUCUCAUUUUGAUUAUGUAUCAUUUUCCUGAGCUCACUGAGCACCUUAAUGUCUGUCAUUUUAAAUUUUUUCACAGAUAAUCUAUAUACUUUCACUUCUUUAUGACCAGUUUCUAGAGUUUUAGUUUGGAAUGGACCACGUUUUAUUGUUUUACCAUGCGUCUUGUAACUUUUUGUUGAAAUUCAUUCAUUUGAAAAACAACCACUUCUCCCCAUCUUUGAAGAUAGACAUCAUACAGGGAGAAGACAGAAACUGGAAGUUCCUUCUCAAUUGGACUUUACUGAGCUAGCAGGACAGAGAAAGCGUAAUCCGGAACAAAGCCAUACCUGUCUCCUGCCUCCUGACCUGCCUCACACUCCUCUACCUGAAUGCACUUGUGAACUUCAGAAUUUUGAAGCUCUGUCUCCUGACAUCACAGAUAGACAAGCACUGAACUUGGCAGGAAAAUCAGUAGGAGUAAGUGGCGGAGGCAUGGGACUGGCAGAGAUACGGCAGCCCCUGUGGAGAGGCUGUCUACAGAUAACAUAACAAUAACAACAGGAUCUGCGGGGUUCCUGCAUGCGUGUUGGCUUCACUGGAGAAACUAAUCAAGUGGUGCAGUUUGGACACAGAGACUGACACACAGGAAGAAUACCAUGUGAAGACUGGAGUUUUGCAUAGAGAAGCCAAGGAGCUACCAGAAGCUAGGAGAAUGGCCUGGAACAGACCUUUCCUUAGUGCCUUCAGAGAGAGCAUGGCGCUGCCAACAUCUUGAUCUCAGACUUCCAGCAUCCUGAAUUGUGAGAUAAAUUUCUGCUGUUUAAACCAUAUAAUUUGUGAUACUUUGCUAUGGCAACUGUCACAGCUAUUAUAAGCACCUAACCCUUUUUUUAAUCUUUUAAGAAACUUUUUGCUUUCAUCUACUUUUUUUGUUCUGGUUAUUCCAUAUUUUACUUUAAGAUUUAGUCUUCUGUCAAUAAAGCAAUAAUUUCAGAUCAAUUUCAAUAAAAAAUUAAUAAUGUCCAAACA